AUUGAACGCUGGCGGCAGGCCUAACACAUGCAAGUCGAGCGAGCGGCGGACGGGUGAGGAAUGUAUGGGGACUGCCCGAUAGAGGGGGCUACCUACUGGAAACGGUAGCUAAUACCGCAUACUAUCGGAUAACCCAUAUGGGAUUAGCUAGUAGGUGAGGUAAUGGCUCACAUAGGCGACGAUCCCUCGCUGCUCUGAGAGGAUGAGCCGCCACACUGGGACUGAGACGCGGCCCAGAAUCCUACGGAGGCAGCAGUGGGGAAUAUUGCUCAAUGGGCGGAAGCCUGAUGCAGCCAUGGCGCGUGUAUGAAGAAGGCCCUAGGGGUGUAAAGUACUUUCAGUUGGGAGGCGGUACCGACAGAAGAAGCACCGGCUAACUCCGUGCCAGCAGCCGCGGUAAUAC
rnacentral:rRNA from 1 species